ensembl:lncRNA
UUCUUCCUGAUCUCCUGCCUUGGAAUUCCUUAUCACAACCCAACCCAUGUGACUUUGUGAUACCAGUGAGUAGAGUGGAUGCAGGACCCACUGGACCAUGGCACUUGCACCGGCUAGUGGGAUGAAGGUGGCAUCUGUGCAGCGCCUGUCAUUCAUCGAGCAGUUUGUUUUCUGCUUCUGGAAUCACAAAAAUAUUUAAUCUGCUGCUUCAGUGGUGUCACCAUCACUCAGGCUCUAGAACAUGAGAUCCUUCCUUCUUUGUUUGGAGGAACAACAUUCUCUAAGGUGACCAUGGUCCUCUGAAAGCCCAGUGCCCAAACUGAACCUGUGCCCCAGUGAAGGGCAUGUAAAGAGCCUUUCCCUCUCUCUCUCUGCUGCUUUUGAACAAAUGUAUGUUUUCUUCUAUGUCCCAGGUGACACGGCAUGGAUGACCUGCUCAGGGAUUGGUGUGAGGGACCAGUCGCAGAGACCUAUCUGUGUUUUCCCAAGCCAUGUCCCCUUUCCUUUCAGGGGCUGGGUAGGCUGGAGGAGUCUCUGAAAUCUGAGGAGAAAGGACCAUCUGAGGGCUCCUUGAUGGACGCAUAUUGGCGACCUUUGGAGACCAGUCCUCCUGCAGUUAUGACCCACCUGGGAGGCCCACUUCCUGCCUGGGCAAAGGUGUUCAGCCCACCUGCUUCAGCCUUUCUCUGCCUGAUGAGCACCGAUGCUGGCAAAGUGGGCAACAAGGGUUUACAAAGAGCAACCCCCUCAGGGACCCCACUCAGGGAAGCAGGCAGCUCUGGAGGAACUACAGGUGAAGGCGAGCAUGGCAAUUCUGGUAAGCAGGGAGCACAGAUUCCACCAUGUUUUACCUGUGGUUCAAAUGGAUGUGGAUGUGCACUGGAGCAUGGCAUGACAGACGGGUCAAGUGUUAAUGCAAGGGAAACACAGAAGCCGUGGGGUCCUGGAGCUUGGGCAAUCUUAUUAACUGGCUUGGAGAGAGUUUUUAUACUGAGGAUGGGCACUCUUUUUUGUAUCCCAAGGCCAUGAAAUUAUGGAAACCAGGGAGAAGAAGAAUUGAGGUAUCAAAUCUAAUAGGCUCUGUCUAUCCCCAUUUUGUGAACAUGCCCUUCAGACGGACAGGAUGUAGGACUGAUGGAGGCACAGUUCACAGUGUGGUGCCUCUUGGGUUUAGCCAGCCUAUUUCUAUCAGAGGGCUGUGGACUCCCAUAUGAACCUAGCUGACUCUUCCGAACUGUUUUUAUUCACCCUCUAAUACCAGAUGGGUGAGAUUUUCCCCCAGCACUGGCCAAUUCUCCAACAUCAGCUGGGUAGACUGCAAUUCAGUUUAAUCUGGCACUAGCUACCCAGAAUCAGAGCAGAGCCCACGGGUUAGGGGCUCCAUCCCAUGAAGCUGCCUCCAGGCCGGUUGCAAGUCUCAGAUUGCCACCUGUACUUCUGGCCAACUGGCCAAUUUGGGGUUCCCAUAACUCCCUCUUCAGGUUUGAUAAUUUGCCAGAAAAAAUUAGAAACCUCAGGAAAACACUGUACUUAUAUUUACUACUUUAUUAGAAAGGAUUUUAUAAAGAAUACAAAUGAACAGCCAGGUGAAGAGGGACAACAGGGUGAGAUACAGAGGGUCCCGAAUCCAGGAGCUUCUGCUGUGUGGAAUUGGGGUACAUCACCCUCCUAGGGUAUAGACGCGUUCCCCAACCUAGAGGUUCUCUAAACCCUGUUGUUCAGGGGUUUUUAUGGAGGUAGCUUUAUGGACAUGAUUGGUUGAAUCACUGGGCAUUGGUGAUUGAACUCAAUCUCUAACCCUUUGCCCCUCUCCAGAAGAUAGGGAUGGGACUGAAAGUUCUGAGUUUGUGAUUAAGGUUUGUUUUUUCUGGGAAAGAACCCUCAUCCUGUAGCCACCAGGAGCCGCAGAACCAGUCCUCUCAUUAGCACACAAAAGACACUCUUAACACUUUGGAGACUUCAAGGGUUUUAGGAGCUGUGUUCCAGAAACCUGGGACAAAGAUCAAAUAUUUAUUUUUUUUAUUACAUCAUAGCCUCAUUAGCCAAUGGACCAAGGACAGGGGGGCCAAAGUGGGGAGUUACUUGGGGAAGAUGCCAUCUCUGGCUGAAUACAAAUCACAGGCUGUGCUAUGGUCCUGGAAUGCGAUUGCCACCCUCAUGUCCUUGUGGUCUUUUGCACUCUUGUUAUCUAGCAUCUACUAUGUGCCAAGCCUUUUCUUGGGCAAUGUGAUGGAUACAUAGGUCAACUAGACAUUGUUCAUAGCACCAAGAAGCUCACAAUAUUGGAGGAGAUGGUGUGUAAACAGCUGUAUGUAAUACAUUGUGGGAAGCCAUUUUCAGAGUCUUCCAAGAGUGCUACGGGAACACAGAGGACAGAGAAAUUAAUUACACCAGGAGAUUUGGAUAAGUUGUCACAGAGAACAUAACAUUUUCAGCUGGGCUGUGAAAAAUGAGAAGGAUUUUACCAAGUGGAGCUGAAGGAAGUAUAUUUCAGGUGGAGGAUACAACACAAGCAAAGAAUUGAGUUGAGCGUGUUUAUUCAGGAAACAGUGAACGGAUCAGCAUGGUUAGAACAUAAAGUGUCUAACCAGGAACAGUCAUAAUAGUCAGGAUUAAUCAAGCACUUAAUAUAUGCUGGGGACUUUUUUUAUGCAUAUGAGUUUAUUUAGUCCUGAAAGCAAUCCCAUGAAGCAGUUCCUAAUAUUAUCUCCAUUUCAUACAGGAAGACAUAGAGGAAUAGGGAGGUUUAAAAGUUUCCUAAGGUUGUAACAUAUAGCCUGGAGUCAGGAUUAGAGAGCAAACAGGCUCUAAUGGACCAGAAAGACAGAAUACAGGAUUUUAUAUCUCAAGCCACAGACUUAUACUUAAUAUCUGUCCCUUUCAGAAUCCUCUGACGCAGGGGCAUACAAUAUGACCCAUUUGGAUGCAGGAAGAAUAUUCUUGAAUUUUCUAUUUGUUUUGUCUCAUCUGUUUUAUGAUUAUCUUACCCUGUUUCAUAAUGUAUCCACAAUGUUACUGCAUUGGAACAUGUAUAUAAUUUGUAAGUGAUAGGCAUACAUAUAUUGGGGAUUUGUACUGAAAUAUUUUUUUCCUGGAAGAACUGAAAAUCAAACAGAUUUAAAGACUAAUGGCCUAGAGCAGUAAUUUUCCUGUGGAUUUUCUGACCAGCAGCAUCAGCAUCACCUGGCAACUAGUUAGAAAGGCAAAUUUCCAGGCUCUACCACAGACUUCCUGGAUCAGAUGCUCCCAGACUGGGGCCCAGCAACGUGUGUUUUCACAAAUCACCUGAGUGAGUCUGAUUGGUCUAGGCAAUCCAACUGUUAAGGUGGAAUAUGAAAUAAGAAAGAUAAUUUUAGUUGGAAUUAAAAAAAAAUGAAAUACUAGAAACAUGGAAAUUCUUAAAAAAAUCAUUAAAAUCAUCAUGGCAAGAAUCGAGCAGAGUCUGGGUCAAGUAAGAACAGUGGGAUUUCAGAAAUAUUUAAAGAGCAAAUUAAGUAUAACUGAAUUGGGGAGUGAGGGAGAGGGAGUUAAAUCCAGGUAUGGUGCCCCCAGUUCUAAUACACAGUGUUAGUUAAAACCAGGCAUGGCGCCCUGACUUCUCUAAUACACAGCAUUGCUGUCUCCAUAUGUGUCUCAGUCUCUGUGAGUCAGAGCGUAUGAUGGCAAGAACUAAUAAUGAAUGAUCCCGUUUUAAUAAGUGCCUGAAGGGGGGCGCCUGGGUGGCGCAGUCGGUUAAGCGUCGGACUUCAGCCAGGUCACGAUCUCGCGGUCCGUGAGUUCGAGCCCCGCAUCAGGCUCUGGGCUGAUGGCUCGGAGCCUGGAGCCUGUUUCCGAUUCUGUGUCUCCCUCUCUUCUGCCCCUCCCCCGUUCAUGCUCUGUCUCUCUCUGUCCCCAAAAUAAAUAAAAGAUGUUGAAAAAAAAAAUAAGUGCC